rnacentral:rRNA from 1 species
CAUGCUAGACGUAGUUUGAUCCUGGCUCAGAACGAACGCUGGCGGCAGGCUUAACACAUGCAAGUCGAACGCCCCGCAAGGGGAGUGGCAGACGGGUGAGUAACGCGUGGGAAUCUACCCAACUCUACGGAAUAACUCAGGGAAACUUGUGCUAAUACCGUAUACGCCCUUCGGGGGAAAGAUUUAUCGGAGUUGGAUGAGCCCGCGUUGGAUUAGCUAGUUGGUGGGGUAAAGGCCUACCAAGGCGACGAUCCAUAGCUGGUCUGAGAGGAUGAUCAGCCACACUGGGACUGAGACACGGCCCAGACUCCUACGGGAGGCAGCAGUGGGGAAUAUUGGACAAUGGGCGCAAGCCUGAUCCAGCCAUGCCGCGUGAGUGAUGAAGGCCCUAGGGUUGUAAAGCUCUUUCACCGGUGAAGAUAAUGACGGUAACCGGAGAAGAAGCCCCGGCUAACUUCGUG